GACGAACGCUGGCGGCGUGCUUAACACAUGCAAGUCGAGCGGUAAGGCCCUUUCGGGGGUACACGAGCGGCGAACGGGUGAGUAACACGUGGGUGACCUGCCCUCAGCUCUGGGAUAAGCCUGGGAAACUGGGUCUAAUACCGGAUAUGACUCCAUGACGCAUGUUGUGGGGUGGAAAGCCUUGUGCGGCUGAGGAUGGGCCCGCGGCCUAUCAGCUUGUUGGUGGGGUGANGGCCUACCAAGGCGACGACGGGUAGCCGGCCUGAGAGGGCGACCGGCCACACUGGGACUGAGACACGGCCCAGACUCCUACGGGAGGCAGCAGUGGGGAAUCUUGCGCAAUGGGCGAAAGCCUGACGCAGCGACGCCGCGUGAGGGAUGACGGCCUCGGUUGUAACGU
rnacentral:rRNA from 1 species